rnacentral:rRNA from 1 species
CCUACGGGAGGCAGCAGUGGGGAAUUUUGGACAAUGGGGGCAACCCUGAUCCAGCCAUGCCGCGUGAGUGAAGAAGGCCUUCGGGUUGUAAAGCUCUUUCGGCCGGAACGAAAUCGCGCACGUGAAUAACGUGCGUGGAUGACGGUACCGGAGUAAGAAGCACCGGCUAACUACGUGCCAGCAGCCGCGGUAAUACGUAGGGUGCGAGCGUUAAUCGGAAUUACUGGGCGUAAAGCGUGCGCAGGCGGUUCGCUAAGUCAGACGUGAAAGCCCCGGGCUUAACCUGGGAACGGCGUUUGAAACUGGCGGGCUCGAGUACGGCAGAGGGGGGUGGAAUUCCACGUGUAGCAGUGAAAUGCGUAGAUAUGUGGAGGAACACCGAUGGCGAAGGCAGCCCCCUGGGCCGAUACUGACGCUCAUGCACGAAAGCGUGGGGAGCAAACAGGAUUAGAUACCCUGGUAGUCCACGCCCUAAACUAUGUCAACUAGUUGUCGGGGAAGCAAUUCCUUGGUAACGCAGCUACGACGUGUAGUAGACCGCCGUGGGAGGUACGGUCGCGAGAUAAACUACAAGAAGUAGACGCGNGAGAGNGCGAGCGACGACGAGGGAGAG